CCCUCACGAUGGUAACACCUAUCAGGUGGGUGUAGCUUCACUGAAGGACUUUCUGAGCCUGAUGGAUGUGCAGUGGUCCUCAGCAGCCUGGGCUG
rfam:Sus scrofa chromosome 8.